UAGUGUAGUUAACACCUGCAUUAUUUGACGUUACCUACAGAAGAAGCACCGGCUAACUCCGUGCCAGCAGCCGCGGUAAUACGGAGGGUGCGAGCGUUUAAUCGGAAUUACUGGGCGUAAAGCGCAUGCAGGCGGCCUGUUAAGUCAGAUGUGAAAGCCCGGGGCUUAACCUCGGAAUUGCAUUUGAAACUGGCAGGCUAGAGUCUUGUAGAGGGGGUAGAAUUUCAGGUGUAGCGGUGAAUGCGUAGAGAUCUGAAGGAAUACCAGUGGCGAAGGCGGCCCCCUGGACAAAGACUGACGCUCAGAUGCGAAAGCGUGGGGAGCAAACAGGAUUAGAUACCCUGGUAG
rnacentral:rRNA from 1 species